UCUGCAGGCCUUGGCAUCACUUAAGGCAGGUUCAGGUUGCCCCAUGUGGAUCCAACAAAGACUUCUAUUGGAAAACAGAGUGCCAUCAGUUGGAUCAAAAUUGAUUGCCUACAGAUUAUCAGCAAACACAAGUGAGCCCUAUCUCUCUCUUGCAGACCUUCAAGCUGAGCUCCAAUCUCUCUCUCUCUCUCUCCGUCUACAAAAUGGUGAGGAUCGCAGCAGUAGCCUUCAUCAAUGGAGAAGAAAGGAUUUUCACCUUUACAUGCAAGAGAGACUGCACUCCGUGCCUUUUCUAUUUUUUGGUGCGCGGGGGGAGGGGCAGAAGGGGGGGGGGGGGCGUAACAAGCUUAUUCCUUGAUAGGUGUACGUUUUUCUUUUUGGUUGUGAAAACAGAGAUUUCAUUAAUACAUAACAAAAUGACAACAAGGAGCGUGGUGUAACUCAGACACGACAAUAGUACAUACAAAGUUUGUUAUAUUAGAUGAUGAAGGUUCAUAA